rnacentral:rRNA from 2 species
AGACCCGAAACCCGGUGAUCUAGCCAUGGGCAGGUUGAAGGUUGGGUAACACUAACUGGAGGACCGAACCGACUAAUGUUGAAAAAUUAGCGGAUGACCUGUGGCUGGGGGUGAAAGGCCAAUCAAACCGGGAGAUAGCUGGUUCUCCCCGAAAGCUAUUUAGGUAGCGCCUCGUGAAUUCAUCUCCGGGGGUAGAGCACUGUUUCGGCUAGGGGGCCAUCCCGGCUUACCAACCCGAUGCAAACUGCGAAUACCGGAGAAUGUUAUCACGGGAGACACACGGCGGGUGCUAACGUCCGUCGUGAAGAGGGAAACAACCCAGACCGCCAGCUAAGGUCCCAAAGUCAUGGUUAAGUGGGAAACGAUGUGGGAAGGCCCAGACAGCCAGGAUGUUGGCUUAGAAGCAGCCAUCAUUUAAAGAAAGCGUAAUAGCUCACUGGUCGAGUCGGCCUGCGCGGAAGAUGUAACGGGGCUAAACCAUGCACCGAAGCUGCGGCAGCGAACGUAUCACCCAAGACAACUUUACGGAGUUGACGAUUGACGGAGCGAAGCGACGUCAAAGCGUUCAUUAAAGUCGAGUUGGCUUAGGGAUACGUUCGUUGGGUAGGGGAGCGUUCUGUAAGCCUGUGAAGGUGUGUCGUGAGGCAUGCUGGAGGUAUCAGAAGUGCGAAUGCUGACAUAAGUAACGAUAAAGCGGGUGAAAAGCCCGCUCGCCGGAAGACCAAGGGUUCCUGUCCAACGUUAAUCGGGGCAGGGUGAGUCGACCCCUAAGGCGAGGCCGAAAGGCGUAGUCGAUGGGAAACGGGUUAAUAUUCCCGUACUUGGUGUUACUGCGAAGGGGGGACGGAGAAGGCUAUGUUGGCCGGGCGACGGUUGUCCCGGUUUAAGCGUGUAGGUGUGUGUUCCAGGUAAAUCCGGUUCACUUUAACACUGAGGCGUGAUGACGAGGCACUACGGUGCUGAAGCAACAAAUGCCCUGCUUCCAGGAAAAGCCUCUAAGCAUCAGGUAACAUCAAAUC